ensembl:lncRNA
CUGUCUUCCAAAAUGUCUGCUAUUCCUGCCAGCUCGUCAUCCACAGAUUUAUUAAAGCAAGUGCUCAAUUCUGUCCUUCAAGUCAUUAAAGAUAUAUACUAAGACAGACCCAAAGCAAGCAUUCCCUGGGGAAACAAUGUAAGAAGGCAGAAUAGUUUUGUAAGAAGAAUGAAGAGUGAAAUCCUUUCUACUGAAAAGCGCUUCCACCUCCCAUUCGGACCAGUCAGUACACACAAAAUCUGCUUCUGUCAUAUCAUCUGAUUCAGUCUCCACCUCCACAGACAACUUUUCUCCAGAUCUCAAGGCUAAGAGCAUGGCGAUAUUUGUAGAAAGAAAGAAGAAUGACAGAAGGAGUGAUGGGGAAAAAGAAUCUGGACAGUUUUUCUUCAAUUGAAAGAAUCCUUUUGAUCAAUUGAUUUCCUCCACACUCCCUCUUCCCCUCCCCCCCCCACCUAAAGAUGUAGUAAAAACCUCUUGAUACCUUGGAGAAUAUCUUCUAGCAUUUGAAGAUCAAGCAGUAAAUUAGUAAAAUGGUGCAAUUCUCUGAUUCAGUCCCUCUAGAGUGUCCACUGUCUUCAUUACCCAUUAAUAGAAUUGAAUGCUGAAGGUGAGCUGUGCCUUGUAAGAUCAGGGUUCCUAGUGGUAUGGCUGUAAUGAAGUCGGCAUCAUAAAACGAGGAAAUGAUCAGUAAUCAUCAAAACAGCCAGUUUUGUUUCAAUUAAUACCACAUUCAGUUCACUAUGUUGGGAUGGCCCUAGAGAGCACAUUUUCCUAAUAUUUCCUUGUCAAAACAUCUAUUCUUAUGAAAGGAAUUCUGCAUCUGUAUCUAAGUCUUAGAAUGUAAAAUUUUAUUUAUGUGUUGGUAUCUUUUCAUCUCCUGGAUCUUGCUAACUGACCUUUUGUUUUCUAGCUGUUCUUCUUAGAAAUACUUACCAGAACUGGUGUGGUUUCAUCGUAUGUCAGUACCCUCAACAGCUGUGCUGGCAUGUAUUUCCUCACAAGAUUCAUAAAUCACUACUUGUUUGGUUCUUAGUCUUUUACCACUAAAAGAAAAUAGAGCUUCCUCCUGGCUCAGUCCAUUAAAAAAGUGCAGUAUGGCAAAGGGGUUAAAUUUGCUUUCUGAAUAGGUUUGGAACCAAUAAGCCUGAGCAUACUUUAAAAGAACUCAGCUUCAUUCUCAAUUUUAUUUUUUGUUUUUGUUUUGUGUAAAUUAGCACCUUCUACAAUGGCUAGAAUUAUAUACACUUUUUGGCUCUUCAAAAAGUAGAUUUUAAAGGUAACUUCUGUGCCUUACUACUUUACACUUGUUCAGCUAUACUUCCGUUUGGUUCAUUUUCUUCUAAAUAAUCCCAAUUCCUCCAGAUAAUCAUGGAACU